rnacentral:tRNA from 1 species
UUCCCUGUGGCUCAGUUGGUAGAGCAUGGUGUUUGCAACGCCAGCAUGGUGUUUGCAAUGCCAGGGUUGUGGGUUCGAUUCCCACGGGGGGGG